rnacentral:rRNA from 1 species
AGUGAACGCUGGCGGUAGGCCUAACACAUGCAAGUCGAACGGCAGCACAGUAAGAGCUUGCUCUUACGGGUGGCGAGUGGCGGACGGGUGAGGAAUACAUCGGAAUCUACUUUUUCGUGGGGGAUAACGUAGGGAAACUUACGCUAACACCGCAUACGACCUACGGGUGAAAGCAGGGGAUCUUCGGACCUUGCGCGAUUGAAUGAGCCGAUGUCGGAUUAGCUAGUGGGCGGGGUAAAGGGCCACCAAGGCGACGAUGCGUAGCUGGUCUGAGGGGAUGAUGGGCCACAAUGGAACAUGGACACGGCCUACACUCCUACGGGAGGCAGCAGUAGGGAAUCUUCCGGAAUGGGCGGAAGCCUGACGUAGCACCAUCGCGUGAGGGAUGAAGGGCCUCUGAGGGUAAAACGCUCUUUUUAGGGAAGAAAAAAUGUGCAAGUACCUAGGCCCGUCUUGACGGUACCUAAUAAGAAAGCCACGGCUAACUACGUG